rnacentral:misc_RNA from 1 species
GAUGAAGAACGCAGCGAAAUGCGAUAAGUAAUGCGAAUUGCAGAAUUCCAGUGAGUCAUCGAAUCUUUGAACGCACAUUGCGCCCUUUGGUAUUCCGAAGGGCAUGCCUGUUCGAGCGUCAUUAUCACCCCUCAAGCCCUCGGCUUGGUGUUGGACGGUUUGGUGGAGGCCCCCUCGGGGGCUCCUGCCCCUCCCAAAGACAAUGACGGCGGCCUCGUUGGACCCCCGGUACACUGAGUUCUUCACGGGACACGUAUCGGACACAUGGGUUUACGGGACACGGUCUGCCUCCCCUCAGGGAGAAUCUUUCUAAGGUUGACCUCGGAUCAGGUAGGGAUACCCGCUGAACUUAAGCAUAUCAAUAACGGAGGA